rnacentral:rRNA from 1 species
CAUCCUACGGGGGGCAGCAGUGAGGAAUAUUGGUCAAUGGGCGGGAGCCUGAACCAGCCAAGUCGCGUGAGGGAAGACGGUCCUACGGAUUGUAAACCUCUUUUGCCGGGGAGCAACGGGGUCCUUGCGAGGGCCCGAUGAGAGUACCCGGAGAAAAAGCAUCGGCUAACUCCGUGCCAGCAGCCGCGGUAAUACGGAGGAUGCGAGCGUUAUCCGGAUUUAUUGGGUUUAAAGGGUGCGUAGGCGGAAUGCCAAUUCAGCGGUA